rnacentral:lncRNA from 1 species
CGCAUUGCUGCCUGCCAGCAGGGACCAGAAUGUAAUUGCCCUGGGAACAUUGGCUCAUUGGGGCCCCUAAUCAACUAAUCCCCCUGUAUUAGGGUUCUCCAGAGAAAAAGAAAAAUUAUAUACAUAUAUUUAUAUAUAUGUAUAUAUAUGUAAAGAGGUUUAUUAUGGGAAUUGUCUCACAUGCUUAUGGAGGUUGAGAAGUCCUGCAAUCUAUUAUCUGCAAGCUGGAGGCCCAGGAGAGCUGGUGGUAUAAUUCAGUCCAACCCUGAAGACCUGAGAACCAGGGGAGCCAAUGGUGAAGUCUUGGUCCAAGUUCCAAGGCCUGAGAACCAGAAAUGCCAAUGUCCAAAAGCAAGAGUGGAUGAAUGUCCCAGCUCAAAUACAGAACACCAGUGUUCCCUUCCUCUGCCUUUUUGUUUUAUUGGGCACUCAGUGGACCGGAUGAUGCCCAUCCACACUGGAGCUGGCUGCCUACAGAAAGCCUGUGUUCUGCUCUGCUUCCCUAUGUGAAAAUUACCAGAGACAGCAUAACAAAGCAUGUGAUUUUCUGUGCUGCCUGUGACUCUGGUGGGUAAGUCUGCCUCAUUCUGGAAUUCAGUAUUAUAAAGCCCAUUUGUCUGCAGCUCUAAGACACAUUUGCCAAUAUCAGAUUUACCAGUAAUAAAGACAGUGUUUUAAUCUGUCUGCCUGACUCCUUUGCCUUAUCUCCUGAUUGGCUCAAAACUCUGGCCAGCAAGAAGAUCAACAGUUCAUCAGGCCACCUCAAAACCCAGUAUAUUAGAGCAUGAAUUCAGACACCUAUGGUCUGCAAGAAUACUUUCAACUUUAAAAAGAAGUCCAUGAUUUACAUUCCUGCCUGUCACUCAGAAGCCAAAAAAGAGACAGAAUGCCAUCGACUCAGAGAUAUUAAAAGUGGAAGAAGAAUAAGAUCAUCUGUUCACAGCUUUGUGAAGAGGAAACUAAAUCCCAGAGAAAGAAACCUAACAAGUGGCAGAACCAGAACUAUGACUCAGAUCUCUUGAUUCCCAUGCAGUCCAAGAAGGACUUUAUCUAUGAGAAGAAGGUAUUCAGUUUCAUUCAUUCCUGAAAAAGAAACAAAACAAAACAUUAAGCUGUCUUCCAGAGUAUUUGUCUCCAAGCUAUCCCCACUGUUUUCUUCACAUGCAUCUGUUGACCCAUUAUAUAGCCCAAAAAAAAUAUAAAAA